GACUGUCCACCCCUCUGCAGGUGAGGGCCGCACCGGUCCCAAGUGCCUGUGUGCUCUUGUUCUGCGCCGACUGCAAAGCCAUCUAGUCCAGUAGCUGGAUCCUGGCCUCCGGGCCUUCUCUGUGCUCUGGAUCUGUGUUGCCAUGUGUGCACCCUAUGAUGGAGUGGUUUGCGAGUGUUUAGUUGGCUCCCACCUGAGCAUUGUGCAGAGAAGCUGUGACG